CGAGCGAGCUGAACAGCAGAUUCACUUCGGUGAUGACGCUGGGAACGCGAGCGGCGGAUGGGUGAGUAACACGUGGGUAACCUGCCCUAAAGUCUGGGAUACCACUUGGAAACAGGUGCUAAUACCGGAUAACAACAAUAGCUGCAUGGCUAUUGCUUAAAAGGCGGCGAAAGCUGUCGCUAAAGGAUGGACCCGCGGUGCAUUAGCUAGUUGGUAAGGUAAUGGCUUACCAAGGCGACGAUGCAUAGCCGAGUUGAGAGACUGAUCGGCCACAUUGGGACUGAGACACGGCCCAAACUCCUACGGGAGGCAGCAGUAGGGAAUCUUCCACAAUGGGCGAAAGCCUGAUGGAGCAACGCCGCGUGAGUGAAGAAGGUUUUCGGAUCGUAAAGCUCUGUUGUUGGUGAAGAAGGAUAGAGGUAGUAACUGGCCCCUAUUUGACGGUAAUCAACCAGAAAGUCACGGCUAACUACGUGCCAGCAGCCGCGGUAAUACGUAGGUGGCAAGCGUUGUCCGGAUUUAUUGGGCGUAAAGCGAGCGCAGGCGGAAAGAUAAGUCUGAUGUGAAAGCCCCCGGCUUAACCGAGGAAUUGCAUCGGAAACUGUGUUUCUUGAGUGCAGAAGAGGAGAGUGGAACUCCAUGUGUAGCGGUGGAAUGCGUAGAUAUAUGGAAGAACACCAGUGGCGAAGGCGGCUCUCUGGUCUGUAACUGACGCUGAGGCUCGAAAGCAUGGGUAGCGAACAGGAUUAGAUACCCUUGUAGUCCAUGCCG
rnacentral:rRNA from 1 species